CAUCCCACAAUGCAUUUGUUGGCUCUAUUUCAAAAUAGUAUGGCUAUUCAAUUACCUGGGUUUAAUGGUUAGAAUCAAUUAAAUAUGUCAUUGUUUGCAAAUGGCUUGUAUUAAACUCCCAGGAGACAAUGAACACAUAGAUUUGGAGAUUGGAUGAGGAGAAGAAGGACCAACCCAAUUUUACCAAGACUCCUAAGAGACAGUGUACACAUAGAUUUGGAGAUUGGAUGAGGAGAAGGAGGACCAACCCAAUUUUACCAAGAUAUCAAGUAACACAUCUACAUCCAUCACCUUAUGCAAUACAAGUUGUUGUUGAUGCAUCACUUUAUAUAUUGGUGAAGUUGAGGUGGUA